CUUUAGGUGGCCGAGAGAUAGGCAUUAGAUUUUUAAUCUGAAGACGGUUAAGAGUAGUAGUGACCCCUGAAGA
rnacentral:tRNA from 1 species